rnacentral:rRNA from 1 species
AUUGAACGCUGGCGGCAGGCUUAACACAUGCAAGUCGAGCGGUAGCACAGGGGAGCUUGCUCCCUGGGUGACGAGCGGCGGACGGGUGAGGAAUGUCUGGGAAACUGCCUGAUGGAGGGGGAUAACUACUGGAAACGGUAGCUAAUACCGCAUAACGUCGCAAGACCAAAGAGGGGGACCUUCGGGCCUCUUGCCAUCAGAUGUGCCCAGAUGGGAUUAGCUAGUAGGUGGGGUAAUGGCUCACCUAGGCGACGAUCCCUAGCUGGUCUGAGAGGAUGACCAGCCACACUGGAACUGAGACACGGUCCAGACUCCUACGGGAGGCAGCAGUGGGGAAUAUUGCACAAUGGGCGCAAGCCUGAUGCAGCCAUGCCGCGUGUGUGAAGAAGGCCUUCGGGUUGUAAAGCACUUUCAGCGGGGAGGAAGGUGGUGAACUUAAUACGUUCAUCAAUUGACGUUACUCGCAGAAGAAGCACCGGCUAACUCCGUG